UACGUAGGGUGCAAGCGUUAAUCGGAGUGACUGGGCGUAAAGGGCGCGUAGGCGGUUGUAAGGGUCUGAUGUGAAAGGCCUAGGCUUAACCUGGGAUGUGCAUUGGAAACUGUAUGACUAGAGUCUAGGAGAGGGAAGUGGAAUUUCCGGAGUAGCGGUGAAAUGCGUAGAGAUCGGAAAGAACCCUCGAGGCGAAGGCGGCUUUCUGGCCUAAGACUGACGCUGAGGCGCGACGGCGUGGGGAGCGAACAGG
rnacentral:rRNA from 1 species